AUACGGAGGGUGCAAGCGUUGUUCGGAUUUAUUGGGCGUAAAGCGAGUGUAGGCGGCUUGACAAGUCGGAUGUGAAAUCCCGGGGCCCAACCCCGGAACUGCAUCCGAUACUGUCAGGCUAGAGUCCCGGAGAGGGUGGCGGAAUUCCCGGUGUAGGGGUGAAAUCCGUAGAUAUCGGGAGGAACACCAGUGGCGAAGGCGGCCACCUGGACGGUGACUGACGCUGAGACUCGAAAGCGUGGGUAGCAAACAGGAUUAGAAACCCCAGUAGUCC
rnacentral:rRNA from 1 species